UAUGAUUGUAUGUGUGCCCUGACAUGUUC
rnacentral:piRNA from 1 species